CAUUUCUGUCAGCCACCGUGGCUGAAUCUCCACCGAUGUUCUCCCUCACAACCAUCGUGAUACAGCGAUGCAAUGGAGAUAGGUAGCCAAAGUUUCUCCCUCCCUUUCUGCGAAGCGAAAGACAACUCAAAAUUUAUGGGAUUUCAAAUCCACAACCACCGCACGCCGCCUUCUGAAUUUUUGGUCCUUUAAAAGCUGAACUGAAUUGGGUUUUGUACAGAGUCUUCGACUUCUCAGGCUUUUGGCCUGUGGGUUUUCACCUUCUCUCAUAACACAAAAAAAAAACAGCCCGGCAGCUCAGGAGAAAUGUAUUACUCGCCUACUAAAAGCAAUUUCACGUCCAACAAACGCAACCAUUACACAUAUAUAUAUAGCCCCUAAAAGCAAGACGAAUUUGAAUUUGAAGCCUUAGAAAUUAACGAUUAUGGAUUCAAAAUUAUAAAACAAGAAUUAACAAGCACAACCCGAAUUCGGAGCCCUAGAAAUUUCCUACCCAGGGACAAGCACAAUCCAAAAGCAAACAAGAAUCAACUACAAAGGAACACAGAUAAUGAUGGAAUACUCAGAAUAAAAGGCACAAAUCCAAGACUAGAGGAUGAGAAACAAAGAAGGAACAGGGAGGAGGGAGCACACACCCACAACUCUUGAGGAUUAGUGAUCUACUACACCAAAGUGAAAACUUUUGAGGAAUGUAAACUUAUCAGAAUCAGGGGCAGCAACUGAUGGAGGUGUGAUUGAAGCCGUCGAGAUGGGGCUUGCGGUACGAGCAGCGGUGCCGUCCUUCACAGCCGGUGGUGGAGCUCAUCGUCAGUUCCAUUGCGGUGGAGGAAGGGUUUUGACUAAGAAAGGUGGGACUUGAUGGAUGGUGGUGGAGGUGGUCGUUGGCAAUGGUGAAGAUGGCGGACGCAAGUGGAGGGAAAUUUUGGGGGAGAAAUUGUGAGGGGGAAGGAGUUUUGACCAAAAAAAGUUUGUCACGUUUUCAAAACCUUUUUUUAUUUUAUUUAUAAAAUAAAUAAGGCACAUGUGGCAUGCGCCACGUCAAUAAUCACGCUAGUGUGAAGUAAAGAAUU